rnacentral:rRNA from 1 species
AGCAGCCGCGGUAAUUCCUGCUCCAAUAGCGUAUAUUUAAGUUGUUGCAGUUAAAAAGCUCGUAGUUGAAUUUCGAGAUCAAAUUGUUGGUCGUGCCUUGGUACGCACUGGCAUUAUUGGUUUCUCCCUUCUGACGAACCAUGAUGUCAUUAAUUUGGUGUCUUGGGGAAUCAGGACUGUUACUUUGAAAAAAUUAGAGUGUUUAAAGCAGGCUCACGCUUGAAUACAUUAGCAUGGAAUAAUGAAAUAGGACGUUUGAUUCUAUUUUGUUGGUUUCUAGGACCGCCGUAAUGAUUAAUAGGGAUAGUCGGGGGCAUCAGUAUUCAAUUGUCAGAGGUGAAAUUCUUGGAUUUAUUGAAGACUAACUACUGCGAAAGCAUUUGCCAAGGAUGUUUUCAUUAAUCAGUGAACGAAAGUUAGGGGAUCGAAGACGAUCAGAUUACCGUCGUAGUCUUAACCAUAAACUAUGCCGACUAGGGAUCGGGCGAUGUUAUCUUUUUGACUCGCUCGGCACCUUACGAGAAACCAAAGUGUUUGGGUU